AUGAUUCAUCAUCUUCGCGUUGCAUUUCAAUCUUCAACCACCAUCAACAAUCUUCUGUCUUCAACAAAUAAAGCUUCUACACUGCUCAAAAGCCUCACACGAAUCAAUAACUUGCAUAGAAGAACCAAGAGGAAGAAAUUGAAAAAGAAGAAAAGAAGAGCAAUUAUAUUACCUUACCUCUGGUUUUCUAUUAUCUCCUUCCAAGUCACGAGCAUAGGUUCCAAUUUCUUCUACUUUUCUGUCUAA